CCAGACUCCUACGGGAGGCAGCAGUGAGGAAUAUUGGUCAAUGGGCGGGAGCCUGAACCAGCCAAGUCGCGUGAGGGAAGAAGGUACUGAGUAUUGUAAACCUCUUUUGCCAGGGGACAAAGGCGGCCACGGGUGGCCGUAAGAGGGUACCUGGAGAAAAAGCAUCGGCUAACUCCGUGCCAGCAGCCGCGGUAAUACGUAGGGAGCGAGCGUUGUCCGGAAUUACUGGGUGUAAAGGGAGCGUAGGCGGGGAUGCAAGUUGGGUGUCAAAACUACCGGCUCAACUGGUAGUCGCACUCAAAACUGCAGCUCUUGAGUGAAGUAGAGGCAGGCGGAAUUCCUAGUGUAGCGGUGAAAUGCGUAGAUAUUAGGAGGAACACCAGUGGCGAAGGCGGCCUGCUGGGCUUUUACUGACGCUGAGGCUCGAAAGUGUGGGGAGCAAACAGGAUUAGAUACCCUCGUA
rnacentral:rRNA from 1 species